GGAAUCUGCCUGGUAGUGGGGGACAACGUUUCGAAAGGAACGCUAAUACCGCAUACGUCCUACGGGAGAAAGCAGGGGACCUUCGGGCCUUGCGCUAUCAGAUGAGCCUAGGUCGGAUUAGCUAGUUGGUGGGGUAAUGGCUCACCAAGGCGACGAUCCGUAACUGGUCUGAGAGGAUGAUCAGUCACACUGGAACUGAGACACGGUCCAGACUCCUACGGGAGGCAGCAGUGGGGAAUAUUGGACAAUGGGCGAAAGCCUGAUCCAGCCAUGCCGCGUGUGUGAAGAAGGUCUUCGGAUUGUAAAGCACUUUAAGUUGGGAGGAAGGGCAGUAAGUUAAUACCUUGCUGUUUUGACGUUUCUUUUCUGAAUAAGCACCGGCUAACUCUGUGCCAGCAGCCGCGGUAAUACAGAGGGUGCAAGCGUUAAUCGGAAUUACUGGGCGUAAAGCGCGCGUAGGUGGUUCGUUAAGUUGGAUGUGAAAGCCCCGGGCUCAACCUGGGAACUGCAUCCAAAACUGGCGAGCUAGAGUAUGGUAGA
rnacentral:rRNA from 1 species